UUCACCGUAGGGUUCAUCAUUAUCUAUCCGGCGAUUGUUCCUGAAGGCUGCACAGCCUAUCACAUAAACAAUGACUAGGAUGAUUAAUACAAUGAUGUUAAUUACUGACACCUUCCUCCAGCUUUUUCUCAGGCUGCCAAGCACUCCAGCCUUGCAAGAGUUGCAAGAAUAACACAGCUGCUGUUGAUCAUUACUCCAGUUGUUACAGUCAGUGUUGUAAACAACCCCUCCUCCAUAUGUCCAUACAGUUUCAUUCACAUAGGUGAAACCGCAGUCAGUAGGAGGCUUGCAGCAACCAGACUGAAUA
rnacentral:misc_RNA from 1 species